rnacentral:rRNA from 1 species
GAUGAACGCUGGCGGCGUGCCUAAUACAUGCGAGUCGAGCGAACAGACGAGGAGCUUGCUCCUCUGACGUUAGCGGCGGACGGGUGAGUAACACGUGGAUAACCUACCUAUAAGACUGGGGUAACUUCGGGAAACCGGAGCUAAUACCGGAUAAUAUAUUGAACCGCAUGGUUCAAUAGUGAAAGACGGUUUUGCUGUCACUUAUAGAUGGAUCCGCGCCGCAUUAGCUAGUUGGUAAGGUAACGGCUUACCAAGGCAACGAUGCGUAGCCGACCUGAGAGGGUGAUCGGCCACACUGGAACUGAGACACGGUCCAGACUCCUACGGGAGGCAGCAGUAGGGAAUCGUCCGCAAUGGGCGAAAGCAUGACGGAGCAACGCCGCGUGAGUGAUGAAGGUCUUCGGAUCGUAAAGCUCUGUUAUUAGGGAAGAACAAAUGUGUAAGUAACUAUGCACGUCUUGACGGUACCUAAUCAGAAAGCCACGGCUAACUACGUG